UUGAACGCUGGCGGCAUGCCUUACACAUGCAAGUCGAACGGCAGCACGGGAGCAAUCCUGGUGGCGAGUGGCGAACGGGUGAGUAAUAUAUCGGAACGUGCCCCGUAGUGGGGGAUAGCCCGGCGAAAGCCGGAUUAAUACCGCAUACGACCUGAGGGUGAAAGCGGGGGAUCGCAAGACCUCGCGCUAUUGGAGCGGCCGAUAUCAGAUUAGCUAGUUGGUGGGGUAAAGGCCUACCAAGGCUACGAUCUGUAGUUGGUCUGAGAGGACGACCAGCCACACUGGGACUGAGACACGGCCCAGACUCCUACGGGAGGCAGCAGUGGGGAAUUUUGGACAAUGGGCGCAAGCCUGAUCCAGCCAUGCCGCGUGCAGGAAGAAGGCCUUCGGGUUGUAAACUGCUUUUGUCAGGGAAGAAAUCUUCUGGGCUAAUACCCCGGGAGGAUGACGGUACCUGAAGAAUAAGCACCGGCUAACUACGU
rnacentral:rRNA from 1 species